rnacentral:rRNA from 1 species
GAUGAACGCUGGCGGCGUGCCUAAUACAUGCAAGUCGAGCGAACAGACGAGGAGCUUGCUCCUCUGACGUUAGCGGCGGACGGGUGAGUAACACGUGGAUAACCUACCUAUAAGACUGUGAUAACUUCGGGAAACCGGAGCUAAUACCGGAUAAUAUAUUGAACCGCAUGGUUCAAUAGUUAAAGACGGUUUUGCUGUCACUUAUAGCUGGAUCCGCGCCGAAUUAGCUAGUUGGUGAGGUAACGGCUUACCAAGGCAACGAUGCGAAACCGACCUGAGAGGGUGGUCGGCCACACGGGAACAGAGAAACGGUAGAGACUCCUACGGGAGGAAGCAGUAGGGAAUCUUCCGCAAUGGGCGAAAGCGUGACGGAGCAAAGCCGCGUGAGUGAUGAAGGUCUUCGGAUCGUAAAACGAUGUUAUUAGGGAAGAACAAAUGUGUAAGUAACUAUGAACGUAUUGACGGUACCUAAUCAGAAAGCCACGGCUAACUACGUG